GGUCUCCGCCCUCCGAGCGCGCCGUCGUCACCCGGAGUAACGUGGUCUGGCCUCUGCAGGGCCUUACAACGCUUUAGGGGGCGUUGUCCUUCGCCCCGGUCAGUGGAAGGGGCUGGUUUGGGAGGGCGAGGCCGCAGGCUCCUGCUGGGCCCUUGACCGGUGCCUGCCCCUCAGUUUCCCCGUCUGAGCGACGCCACCUCUGCUGUCCUGUGCAGGUUUGCCAUGCUUUCUUACCUCCAUGGCUCUCAUCCUGAAACCAGCCCCGGGAGGUUGCAUUAUGCCCACAGCCAAGAGGAAGCCAGGGCUCUGUACAGCUUGCCCGAGCCACGCGACAGUUGGAAGGGCUCAAAGGGGGAUGGUGACUUGGGUCUGUCAGGGACCAUCACCUCCCACGCUGGCCCCAUGGCCGGGCGGUGAGGUAGGGGGCAGACUUGGUGUCCAGAGGACAGUAGGGCCAGCCCCUGCAUCUCUUUGGCAUUCAAGGCCCUUCACAACUAGGCGCUACCUACCUCUCCAGCCUCACCUGCGCCUGCGCCCUGAGUCACAGCCCCAUCCUCCUCCUGCGCAUGUUCUUAUUCCUCCCCCACGCUCCUGGAGAGACACCUCUAACUUUGAAAUGAGUGGUGGCCGGCCAAGGCUCUCCCCGAGAAAUGUUAGCGAGUGCAGACACCCCAGUCUCUGCCCUUCCCAUCUCCCCACUUAGAGCUGAAUAAUCUGAGGUCCAGGAGGGGAGAUGGGUUGCCCAAGGCACAAUCACACCAGGAUUUAGCAACUGAAGAUCAGCUUCAGUGUGGCUACUGUUUAGAAGGUGACAUUGCCAUCACUCAGCAGUGUCUGUCAUUUUCCAAAUGAAAGGCUGUCGGUGGCAGAAAGCUUAAGAGCUCAAGAUUUGAAUUCCCAUCCUACCGUGUCCUAGUUAUGUGGUGAAACUUCUCUAGUUCUAAGGAACUCUCAGAGGGUUAGUUUCCAUGUCUGUAAAAUGGGAAUAACACAGUCUACCUCGUAAACAUGCCUCGCAUUGCUUGGGUGCUCCUGGCACUGUUCUGCAGGCUUCACAUGUACUCAUUCAUAUAAUCAGCUUCAUUUUGCCGAGGAAGAAACAGGCUUAGUAACUUGCCCACGGUCCCACGGCUAGUAUGGACCCCAGCGGGGAUUUGAGACCAGGCAGUUGGACACCAGAGGCUGCCAGUGUCACCGCAAUCCUCUGCUGCCUCUCAGCGGUGCCCGGUUGCUAUGAGGAUUGAAUAAGCUAAGGAGUGACUGGCAGCUACAGGUGCCCAGUACAUGCCGGUUGUGAUUAGUAACAGAAACAGAAACACCUAUGGGGCAGGGCAGGGCAGGGGCCGGGGAUCCAGCCUUGGCUGCCAGAGCCUGCAAAGGCAGAGUCAGGGGUGGCCGUCAAAGGAGUGAGUCUGGUCCUCCGGGAGGGAACUUCCAGGGGGCUUGAGGGCUUUCGGAGACCAAGGCCCAGAGCAGAGACGAAUGUGGCCAAAGGCAUGGACCAGCUGUGUGGACCCGGGACCAGAAGUCUCUUCACUUCUCUGAGGCUCCGUGUUCCCAGCUGUUAAGCAGGACUAACGGCACCUCCUGGCAGGGCUGACAUGAGGAUCACCUGGUCAAAGGCUCGGCACCUCCCCGCAGGGCUGACGAGAGGAUCACCUUGUCAAAGGCUCGGGACCAGCUUUCCCACGCUUCAAGGGCACCGGCGAAGGAGCUGGCAGCCUUGCUAUGGCUCCCUCUGACUAGGCUGGAGGAUGCAGCCACGCCCCUGGAGGCCAGGGCCAUCCAGUGGCCAACAGAGCGAGGGGCUUCGAGAUCUGCAGAAAGCAGAGGCUACGGUGACACAGCGUGUGACAGCAUGGCCUGAGCCAGGGAGGGGCAGGGUGGGGCCUCCCAGCCCUGGAGCCAGGCUGUGCCCAGCCUCCAGAGCUGCUCCUGUCCCGCGGCCCCGCUGUCAUGGCCCCGCUGUCAUCAAUCACUGCCGGGUGGCGGUGUCUCGGGCCUCAGCCCUCUGCCGCCUCCGCUGCGCCCCAUCCAUCUUGCAGAGCUCUUCCCCUGGCUCAGCAGGGACCGCCACGUCCUGUCCCCACAUCCGGCUGGCUCAGGAGCCCCCAGCCAUCUCUGCCACAGAUGUUUGCUCCCUGCUGGCACUUUGCGGAGUGGUGCUUGUUUCCUAAAAGUGCCUGGGCUUCAGGCAGGAGCUUGAGUUUGAAGCUGCACGUGUGCCCUCAUCAUGCACUGUCCCUGAGUCACUGUGUGACCUGCUGCCUGCCAUGCCACUCUCUGAGCCUCUUCUCCGAGAUGAGAGUGAGGACUGUGUUAUAGGGCUGGGGGAGAAUUCGCUGAGGUAACAGCGCUGUGCAAUUUCUUUUUUUUAUUGCACAAGCCCAGAAGUGACCCGCAAAGGCCUAGCUCCAGGGUAACGGCUCCAGGGUGGUGCCCCCCACCCCCAUCUUCCAUUUUUCAUUCCAUCUGGCUCAGACGGUGCCCCUCCCAGAUGGAGCCUCAGCCCUGGUUUCAGCAGAACUGCCCUCACUGCUGGGUGCUGUUCACCUGGCUGGCGCUUUCCCGGCCCAGAGCCAGGGAGGCCGGGGCGUGGGCGGCGGAGCAGUAAGGAUGGGACAUGAGCUUUGCAGUCACACAGACAGGUCUGAGUCCAGGCAUGACCAUGCUCCCUGAGCCUCGAGGUCCUUAUCUACCCACGGAGGAAAAGAAUAUCCUAGCUUUGAGGCCAGGAUUAAGGAAGCGUCUGUCUAUGAAGCUCCUGACAGGAGGCCUGGCCUGUGACUGUUGUCCCACACAUGGUUGCCAUCCUUAGACAGAGGGACCUCUGUCAGACUCUCACACACCAACACCUUCUCUUCCUGGGAGAAAGGCGGUUGUGACCCAUGAAAGGGAGACGGAGCAAGAAAGGCAGACCACAGCUACAAGGUGACAGUUGUCAGGGACAAAUUUCCAGCAGAGACCCACUAAUCGGCUCUUUGAAGACUGAUUUUGUAUUUAAAACAAAAGAGAAUGUCCCCCGAAUCUGACAUGACUGGCCAGCCUUGAGGCCAAUCUCAAGAACGCCAUUCAAUUCUCAGAUGCCAGCCUGGCCCUGGCAGCUGGAAGUCGCACAGGUGGCAGGAAGGUUUUUCUGGUGUGAUGGAGGCGAGGCUCCUGUCAUUCUCCUUGCCCCCAAAGAGCCAAACUCCCCCACAUCCCUUCCUUCAAAUCUCUCUGCUCUUCCCCACGCUCCUCUUCCUGGAGCCUCCUGCCUCCUGUCUCUGAAAUCUCCAACUCCCGGGCCUGUCCAGCCCCCCACCCUCCCCGGGCCGUCACCCCCCACACAGCCCUCAGCCACACAAAUGCCUGACACAUAAAACACAGUCUUUAGCAAAACUUAAGGGUCCCUCCAACAUUGUGUGGGAGAGCCAGUGGGUGGAAGGAGCUUCCGUUUAUCCUGACACAGAAAUGAUGGAGGUUAUUUACAACAUAAAAUAGCUUUGUUUGGGCUCCGCCUUCUGCAGGAAUCCUUUCUUGCCUCCUAACGACAGAGCUCCCCCUCUGCCCCACCCUCCCUCACUGAGCAUCUGGCCUCUGUCACUGUCCAGUCCCUUCUGGGAGGUUUACUUGGGAUCUUGUCUGCGGGGAGCAUUGAAAGACAGGCAUGGGCCAGAACCCUGGGUUCUCCUAUCCUGCCCUUCCUGGCUGGUAAGACCACUAACACUAAGGUCCUCUAAUGUCUAAAUACUCUCCACAGCCCAUUCAGAGUCACUUCCUGACUUAGAGAAAUUGCACCCCCCCCCCAUUUUACAGAUGAGGAAACUGAGGCCCAGAGAGGGAAAAGAACAUCCCGUAUGGUUUUAGGACCUUUGAGUAAAAGAUGUAAGUUCAGCAAUGCGGUUGGCCUUGAAAAUUCCUCUGCAAACAGGCCAGCCCUUGAAUCAGCUGGGCUUCCCCGCUGUGGGUGUUAGCUCGGCCACCCCUCCCUGCUUUGUAGACAAGGUGAGGCUGUGUGCACUGAAGACUAGGUUUGUUCAAUGUCUCCUGCUCUUAAGUUCAUAUCUGUGAUGUAGUUUACUCCUCGUCACGUCUGUGGAAUAGGCAGGGGAGGCACGACUCCUCUGUGACAGAAGAAACUGAGCCACACAGAGCUGACCAAGGCAGGCCCCAACAGAGUGCACUACAGAGGGACCAAGAACGUCUGGGACACGUGUUGGAGCGGCCACCAUGGGCAGAACUCCGACCUGGGUAAAGACCGCCCAUCACGUGCUCUUCUUCAUGCCCGUGGCUUUGCUAAUUAACGGGCUCUGUUUCCCAUUAGCCAGGAGCCUAAUGGCCAAUUGACAGAUGAAUGAGUCCAGACAGAGGAAGGGCAGGACGCCAGGGACAGGGCUGCCCUCUCUGCUCAUCACUCAGCCCUCAUGCCAGACCUACCAAGGGCCGGCUGGGGUGGGGGUGGGGUGGUGGCAGGAACAGGGAUGCGUCAGGCCUGGGGCCUCUGUCCUAGCUCCUCAUGGUGCAGGGUAAAAAUAUGGCACAGUAUGUAUGAUAAUAAUAACUAACGCAGGUCUGGGCACUUUCUAAGCACUUUAUGUAUAUUUAUCUCAUUUAAUCGUUUAAUGCUCAGAACAAGCCUCUGACAUGGGUACUAUCAUUAAUAGUCCCAUCUUAUACGUAAAAUAAUGAGGCAUAGAGAGGUCACACUAAGGAUAAAAUUAGAUGCAUAGAAAAAAAAGACUGGAAUUUGCUCACUGUGUUAGGAAGUAACUUAUGAAUAUUGUUUUCCAUGAACCCUCUCUCCCAAACAUUGUGUUAUAUUAUGUAACUAUGAAAAUAAUCAUUCUUAAAAGUUGUCUGUUAAAGUGGAAAAAAAAAAAGAGAGAACAUGGGGCUGGCCCUGUGGCCAAGUGGUUAAGUUCCUGCACUCUGCUGUGGC